AACAAAAGAAAAGAAAUGAAAAAAAAAAGAUAGAAAAGAAACAGAAUGAAACGAAACAGAGAGCAAGGAAGGAAAGAAAAGAAAGAAAGGGAAAAAAGGGAAAUUUCAAAUUUCAAGGUUUGAAAGUUUAAUUGUCAAUGUGGUACCGGAAAUCUCGGCUAAGAAAGGACAAGACAAAGUCAACGGGAGUUAGCUCAAAAACUACGGUUAAGUUAAGGCUAGAUUGUUGAAUCAGCAUCCCAGGCCGAUCCCAAAUUCAAUUAGGAGAGGAUGGGGAACUACUGCUACUGGGGAGUUUUUGCUCAGGGGGAGUUGGAUUGGAUGUUCUUGCUACUAUUUUGCUUCUUGUUGUUUUUCUUGUUGAUAUUAUGCUUUGGCUAAUGGAUAUAGCGGUUUGUUUUUAUUGAUUUUGAUGAUGAAACAAACUUCUUUUAUUUUGCCUUGGGUCUAUACUUAACUUGAUGGGUGACGCUAAUAUUUUGUUGUCAUAUCUAAUGGUGAAUUAAUAUUAUUGUUCAUAAUUUGUGCUAUAA